CUACGUGCCAGCAGCCGCGGUAAUACGGAAGGUCCAGGCGUUAUCCGGAUUUAUUGGGUUUAAAGGGAGCGUAGGCUGGAUAUUAAGUGUGUUGUGAAAUGUAGACGCUCAACGUCUGACUUGCAGCGCAUACUGGUUUCCUUGAGUACGCACAACGUUGGCGGAAUUCGUCGUGUAGCGGUGAAAUGCUUAGAUAUGACGAAGAACUCCGAUUGCGAAGGCAGCUGACGGGAGCGCAACUGACGCUUAAGCUCGAAGGUGCGGGUAUCAAACAGGAUUAGAUACCCUGGUAGUCCGCACAGUAAACGAUGGAUGCCCGCUGUUGGUACCUGGUAUCAGCGGCUAAGCAAAAGCAUUAAGCAUCCCACCUGGGGAGUACGCCGGCAACGGUGAAACUCAAAGGAAUUGACGGGGGCCCGCACAAGCGGAGGAACAUGUGGUUUAAUUCGAUGAUACGCGAGGAACCUUACCCGGGCUUGAA
rnacentral:rRNA from 1 species